CAGUCGCCGCGGUAAAACGUAGGUGGCAAGCGUUGUCCGGAAUUAUUGGGCGUAAAGGGCUCGCAGGCGGUUUCUUAAGUCUGAUGUGAAAGCCCCCGGCUCUACCGGGGAGGGUCAUUGGAAACUGGGAAACUUGAGUGCAGAAGAGGAGAGUGGAAUUCCACGUGUAGCGGUGAAAUGCGUAGAGAUGUGGAGGAACACCAGUGGCGAAGGCGACUCUCUGGUCUGUAACUGACGCUGAGGAGCGAAAGCGUGGGGAGCGAACAGGAUUAGAUACCCCCGUAGUCCCUGUCUCUUAUAC
rnacentral:rRNA from 1 species